rnacentral:lncRNA from 1 species
UCCAGGUAGACAUGUACUCAUGCUGCCCAUGUUCUGGGCUGACCAAAGUCACGUGGCUACAGUUAGCUUGAGCUAAUCGCCCCUGCAGCUUUGAUAUUUGCAGGACAUAAAGGAUUUCCACUUGCAUCUAGUUCAUGAAACACUGCACCAUAACUGAGACAUCCAGGAAUGAUGCUGGAUUUGGCAGGAAGGUGGUGAAAAUUGCUGCUUGAAAAAAGGACUUUGCGACUGACCUCUAGGUGUAAGGUGGAAUUUUAUUUGUCUCAAACGCUGGGACAUCCUGGAGAAUGCACCUUCUCACUGCAAGCUCUGUGACUGCAUAGAGGAGCCCUGACUACCAGACCAUCACUUUUGAUAUUGCUAUUACAAUUCGCAUCCAGGUGCAACCAGCUCAGGGAGUCAGUGGGUUCAGGAAGGAAACAGAGAGAGGUCACAGCACCACCCAGGCCACCAGCACCACCUCAUCCUUCUUCCAGCAGAAGUGAGAUCCUCCUGGAAGAAUCUCAUCCCAUGUGAGUCCACCUGUGUGAGUCACUGGAGCUCUGCAAAACACUGCACAGAACAGACUGCUGGACUUCUGAUGCAUCCACAGCGCAAAAUCAAUGGGCUCCUUUUGGGUGUUGACACUUCUUCUUUCAUAUCAUGGCAGAAACUGGGGGGAUUUGCUGCUGUGUCAGUCAAUAGAGCUGUUGCCAGUCAGGAAAGCAGUUUAACUUCAGGUAAAGGGAUAGUGUAAGUUGUAAUAUUGACUUAUUUAAUUAUAAUGUUAUAUUAUAUUGCAUUAUAUUAUAUUAUGACCAACAGACACAAUGCAAUGCACAGUAUAUAUAGCCUUAAAUGAAAAAAUUGGUGCAUCUCCAGUGGCUAUUUCCAGAGUGCAGAGCUAGAGCUAUGGCACAGGGCAGUGUGCACCAAUUUUCAGACAUUACAGGUAAAUGUGCAUUUAACACAUAUAUAACAAGAGUAUUUUGACAGUCUCAACAAAUAAGUUGUGCUUAGCACAAACACUUCUAUUCCCAUCUUGGGCAUUCAAAAUAUCUUUGUGUUAUGCUUGUUUUCUUUGGUAUGCUGGAGGUAAGCUGAUAACUACAGCGUUAUCAUUUUAUGUUAAAUUAUAUAUGUGUAGAGUUGAUAUAAUCAUUAAUUUUUAAGACACAUGAUUAUGAAGUAUUGUAACAUAAAAGCAUGAAAAGAGUUAUCUAAAUCAAACCUAUGAGGGAAGUUUGAGAAUCUUCUUACUUGAUUUACAUUGCAGGAGGAGUGAACCAAAUUUCAGGUGAAACUCAACUACCUCAGUAGGAAAGGAGCUCCUUUUCUCAGGGUAAUUGAAAUAAAGCUGUAGUUGUGUUAUUCCUGGCA